UGACAUUUCCUUCUUUCACCAUUGACUCACGAAAAAAUGGCAAUCCCCCUUGUUUGGCAACCGAGAGGGGUGUGUCCUUUGGAGAGGUUUCAUAAACCACUCUAUCACCAUUCCACUGGGCUAUUGGUGGUAGGGUUGUGUCAUCUAUUGUCUUCUUCACUAGUGUAUUUGUAGAACAAGCAAUAUUAGCUUGUGUACAAAAUGAAUGCAGGUGAGAAGCCAAUUUAUUUUUCUCAAUAAGUUUCAUAAACACUGCUGACUGAUAGAGGCUUAAUGGAGAAGCCUUUGCAGCUAACCAAUGAGGAGGGUG